UACAUGGGGUGCAAACGUUGCUGGGAAUUAUUGGGCGUAAAGCGCAAGUAGGGGGUCUGUUAUGUCGGAUGUGAAAGCCCUCGGCUCAACUGAGGAAGUGCAUCCGAAACUGGCAGGCUUGAGUAUGUAAGAGGGUUGCGGAAUUCCCGGUGUAGAGGUGAAAUUCGUAGAUAUCGGGAGGAACACCGGUGGCGAAGGCGGCGACCUGGGACAAUACUGACACUGAGGUGCGAAAGCGUGGGGAGCAAACAGG
rnacentral:rRNA from 1 species